rnacentral:rRNA from 1 species
AUUGAACGCUGGCGGCAUGCUUUACACAUGCAAGUCGAACGGUAACAGGCCGCAAGGUGCUGACGAGUGGCGAACGGGUGAGUAAUGCAUCGGAACGUGCCCAGUCGUGGGGGAUAACGCAGCGAAAGCUGCGCUAAUACCGCAUACGAUCUAUGGAUGAAAGCGGGGGACCGUAAGGCCUCGCGCGAUUGGAGCGGCCGAUGUCAGAUUAGGUAGUUGGUGGGGUAAAGGCUCACCAAGCCAACGAUCUGUAGCUGGUCUGAGAGGACGACCAGCCACACUGGGACUGAGACACGGCCCAGACUCCUACGGGAGGCAGCAGUGGGGAAUUUUGGACAAUGGGCGCAAGCCUGAUCCAGCAAUGCCGCGUGCAGGAAGAAGGCCUUCGGGUUGUAAACUGCUUUUGUACGGAACGAAACGGCUCUCACUAAUACUGGGGGCUAAUGACGGUACCGCAAGAAUAAGCACCGGCUAACUACGUGCCAGCAGCCGCCGUAAAAC